rnacentral:rRNA from 1 species
CGCGUAGGUGGUUAGGUAAGCGAGAUGUGAAAGCCCCGGGCUUAACCUGGGAACGGCAUUUCGAACUGUCUGACUAGAGUAUGGUAGAGGGUAGUGGUAUUUCCUGUGUAGCGGUGAAAUGCGUAGAUAUAGGAAGGAACACCAGUGGCGAAGGCGGCUACCUGGACCAAUACUGACACUGAGGUGCGAAAGCGUGGGGAGCAAACA